rnacentral:rRNA from 1 species
CCUACGGGUGGCAGCAGUGAGGAAUAUUGGUCAAUGGGCGGAAGCCUGAACCAGCCAAGUAGCGUGCGGGAUGAAGGCCCUACGGGUCGUAAACCGCUUUUGCACGGGGAUAACACCCUCCACUUGUUGAGGUCUGCAGCUACCCUGCGAAUAAGGGCCGGCUAAUUCCGUUCCAGCAGCCGCGGAAGUACGGAAGGCACGCGCGUUAUCCGGAUUCAUUGGGCUUAAAGGGAGCGUAGGCGGGCGUCCAAGUCAGCGGUAAAAUCGCGCGGCUCAACCGCGCCCCGCAGUUGAAACUGGACGCCUUGAGUUCACAACAGGCAGGCGGAAUUCGUGGUGUAGCGGUGAAAUGCAUAGAUAUCACGAGGAACCCCGAUUGCGAAGGCAGCAUGCCGGGGUGCGACUGACGCUGAGGCUCGAAGGUGCGGGUAUCAAACAGGAUUAGAUACCCUUGUAGUC